CACCAGUGGUAUGCCGAGUCCCUCAACAAGGAUAUGGCACACUUCAAGCAUUCUACAGAAGUACAAGAUAAUUCAUCGAAUACCCUGAUGGUAUUCUCAAGCCAGAACUUUGCCCUUUCAGGAUUAUCAUCUUUAUUAGUACGGAACUCCUCGACUCCAUACUUUCAGAUAUUGUCCACUGGGGAUCUAUUCAAUCUCACAAAAUCCAUACCCUAGGGUGCUAUAGGGACAGGUUGAGGAAUAGGGGGAGGUGGAGGGGGUUGAGCAUUCAGGUUCGCUCGGACGAACUCCGUGUACCAUUCAUUCAUCAUGUGGAGAAAGGCUUCCUGGGCCCUUUUUCCCCUCCCUGACUAACCGUGGGAGGUCGAUUAUUAGAUGUCACCGCCCCUUCAGCAGGAGCCGGUGCAUUACUUUUUACAUCAUCCGCCAUAGUUCGAUCGAGAUCCAUUACUAAAAGAAAACAAAAUAACAAAAUUAGGAGUCAUCACACUAUCACAAUUUAUCUAUGGCAUGCAUAGCUAGACUCAUACACACGCUAGGUUAGUCCAAGAAUCGACUAAACCAUAGCUCUGAUACCACUAAAUGUAACACCUUACACCUGUACCCUACGCCGAGAUAGAAUACAAGGCGUUACUAAACUUAAACACAUGUAUUCAAA
rnacentral:lncRNA from 1 species